rnacentral:tRNA from 1 species
UGGCUCAGUUGGUAGAGCAUGGCACUUGAAAUUCCAGCAUUGUGGGUUCAAUUCCCAC